CCCGAUGAACCUGAAUAUCCAUUAUGGAAAAUUCAUCAUUAAUAUUAUUAUAUUUAAAAAUAUAAUAAAAAUAGUGUGCAAUUUUUCCAUAUAAGGACAUUGUAAUCUGUUAAUGUAUUAAAUAUUUAUCAAAAAAUCUAAAACAUAAGUUUAUUCAAAUUAGUUAUUUUCGAAUUUCUAACAUAGAAUAAUUGUAUUAGAUUUGAUAAAUCAUUGACAGAUUUUACUGUAUAUAAUGCUGAAAUUCUUUUUUGAAUUUUAUAAUUAUAGUAAAAAUUUAUUUUUAUUUAUAAUUAUAUGCAUUUAUAUGAUUAACAAUGCGAUAGAUUCAGGAUACCUUCGGGACCCGUCUUGAAACACGGACCAAGGAGUCUAACAUAUGUGCAAGUCAUUGGGUAUUUUUAAUAAAACCCAAUGGCAUAAUUAACUUAACUGUUUUUUAAUGGGAUUAGUUUAUAUUUUAUUAUGAAAUAAAAAUUCAAUCCSGGGGCGUUCUAUACAGUUAUGCAUAAUGAUAUUUAUAUUAUUUAUGCCUCUAACUAGAGCGUACCUUGAGCAUAUAUGCUGUGACCC
rnacentral:rRNA from 1 species